rnacentral:rRNA from 1 species
ACGAACGCUGGCGGCGUGCCUAAUACAUGCAAGUAGAACGCUUAAGGAGGAGCUUUCUUCUCUGGAUGAGUUGCGAACGGGUGAUUAACGCGUAGUUAACCUGCCUGGUAUCGGGGGAUAACUAUUUGAAACGAUAGCUAAUACCGCAUAAUAGUAGAUUUUGCAUCACAUUUGCUUAAAAGUUGCAAUUUCAUCACUACCAGAUGGACCUUCGUUGUAUUAGCUAGUUGGUGGGGUAAAGGCUCACCAAGGCGACGAUACAUAGCCGACCUGAGAGGGUGAUCGGCCAAACUGGGACUGAGACACGGCCCAGACUCCUACGGGAGGCAGCAGUAGGGAAUCUUCGGCAAUGGACGGAAGUCUGACCGAGCAACGCCGCGUGAGUGAAGAAGGUUUUCGGAUCGUAAAGCUCUGUUGUAAGAGAAGAACGAGUGUGAGAGUGGAAAGUUCACACAGUGACGGUAACUUACCAGAAAGGGACGGCUAACUACGUG